rnacentral:siRNA from 1 species
AAUGUACGCCAUGGUUGGUUCAAG